ensembl:lncRNA
AUGGAUACAACUUUCCUUAUCCUGCCUAAAUGUGCACAGGCCAGUUUAAAAUCUAACUGUACACAGCCACAUCUUCCUUUUUCAUCUCUCAUUUAUUCCUUAAGUGGAUACAGACACCUCUUUGCUCUUCUCCCUCGUCUAGUUGAUUAUCCAAUCUUUAUAAAUCCUUCAUUUCCUCUCCAUCCCUUCCUACUAUUUCUUCAGGAUGCUGCUAUUUCUUCAGGAUGCUGCUAUUUCUUCAGGUAUGCUGCUGUCUCUCCAAUAUCUCUCCUUCUAAGUGAAUUAUAUCAGCUCAUAUAUCUUCAAGUUGAUGGAGGGCAAAUUGAUGCUCACCCACACCCUGUAUUCAGGUGGGACAAGAGGGAAAAGUGGAGACCUAGGCAGAGGGGAUCUAGAAGAAUGGAUGUAGACAGAAAGAUCAGGAACAGUUGGUUAUUUAUGUUUCAGAAAUGUGGAUGGAGGGGUCUGAUAUAACUGAUCUCUUAGAGGAAGACUUUCAGACCAAUGGGCUUCUUUGAAAACAUCUAUUUUCAGAUGUUUCAAGAUUGUUUCAAGGUUGUUUUAAUCUGUUUACUACUGAAAAUGUAAUCGUGAUCCUGCCAUGAUUCCUCAGGGUAAAGAGAGCUGUCAUGUGGGAGUGGCCAAGUAAAGAUUACGAUACACCACACCCCAACCCCUACCAACACCAAUUCCAUUGUGGAGAUCAUGGAGAAGCUGCUGAACUAAUAUAAGACCUGAGAGUGCUGGGCUGGUUGUGAGCUGGACCCACCUGGUUACUUGGUUGAUGACUCUGGAAGGCUCCAAACUACACUCAUGCUUGCAGGUUCGUAGUUUUAGGCUGUGCCUGGGAUGGGAAGAUGCCCAGGGCUUCUCCCAGGGCAGCUUACAUGGCUAUUCACCAUUGGGAAAUGGUGAAAUAAAUGACAUAUGAUGAAAUAAAGCAUACACACCAAGGAGCUCACUGAACUCCAAGAAAACUCAGAUAAACUACAAAACAAGUUCAGGAAGAAAAUAUAUGAACAAAAUAAGAUUAAAAAAUAUUUCUCAUCAUCAUUAUUAUUCUUUCUAAUUUUUGGUUGCAUUGGGUCUUUGUUGCUGCAUAUGGGCUUUCUCUAGUUGCAGCAAGCAAGCACCACUCUUAUUUGUGGAGAGCAGGCUUCUCUAUGCACAGGCUUCUCUUAUGUGGAGAAUAGGCUCUAGGUACCUGGGCUUCAGGGGUUGCAGCAGGCUGCCUCCUAUUUGUGGUUUGCAGGUCCUAGAGCUCAGGCUCAGUAAUUGUUGAGCUAGGGUGAGUUAUUCUUUAGAAUAAAUUCAGAUUUUUUUUUACGGAGAUAGAAAUCAUAAAAAAGGAAGUAAACAGGGAGUUUGUUGAUGGUUUGGUGGUUAGGAUUUGAUGUAUUUACUGCUGUGGUCUGGAUUUAAUCCCGGUAAGGAACUGAGAUCCCUCAAGCUUUGCAGUGAGGCAAAGAGAAUAACAGAAGGAACCAAACAGAAAAAUGAACCAAACAAAUUUAGUUGCUUAAGAUUCAGUUCAGUUCAGUCCAGUGGCUCAGUCGUGUCUGACUUUUUGUGACCCCAUGGACUGCAGCAUACCAGGCUACCCUGUCCUUCACCAACUCCUGGAGCUUGCUCAAACUCAUGUCCAUUCAGUCAGUGAUGCCAUCCAACCAUCUCAUCCUCUGUCAUCCCCUUCUUCUCCUGCCCUCAAUCUUUACCAGCAUCAGGGUCUUUUCCAAUGAGUCAGUUCUUUGGAUUAGGUGGUCAAAGUAUUGGAGUUUCAGCUUCAGCAUCAGUCCUUCCAAUGAAUAUUCAGGACUGAUUUCCUUUAGGAUUGACUGGUUGGAUCAGUUGCUUAAGAUUACAAUGAUUGAAAUGCAGCAAAAUGAAAAAUGCUGCAGAGAACAUCAACAACAGCAGAAGACUUUGUAACUUAAAAGGCAGGACUAUUGAGGUUAUCUAGCCAGGGGACAAAGAAGAAAAUUAUUGAACAAGUGUGAAAGAACCUGUGUGAAUGAUGGGGUAACAUUUACAGAAACAACUCGUACAUUAUUGGAGUCCCGGAAGGAGAAGAGAGGGAGAAAGGGACAGAGACUGUACUUAAAGAAGCAAUAGCAGAUAAGUCCCAAAUCUGAUGAGAUUUAGACAUCCAAGUUCAUGUAGCUAAUAGCUCACUCCUCAGAGUUCAUUCAAAAUGAUCAUCCCCAA